GUACAGAUUCCUACUGAAGUUCACUUUGAAGUGACACCUCACUGGCUGUACCAGAGACCUUUGCAUCUGGCUACUGAUGGUUUUAAAACUCAGGAUGUUGCCAUAAUGAUCAGAUUUUUACUUGCAAAUUGUUAUUCUCUCGUUUCUACUUGAGAAUCUGAAGAAGUGAAAUGUAUCCUAAGCUUUUCAUACAAGAUUUCUCUCUUCCAAAGUAAAACUAAAAUUCUUCCAAGGUAUUCAAUAAGCAAACUAAAAUGAGAUCUGAAGCAAACAUCAAUUUUAGAGGGAACAGUUACUUUUUUUUUUUUGUGCAGAGUCAGCACCAAAUACAAACACGGGAACUUCAUCUACAUAGGGGCAGCAGCAAAUGGAGAUAACAAAAAUAAUGUAAAAGGCGAUUUUGUUUUCACAAAGUAACUUAAAUCAAUGAGAACAAUCUUCUUCUAGUUCUCUAUUGCAAUUAAAAAUAAUUUGAAUACCAGCAGGACUCCCAUGGAGUCACAGCUACCUGUUUUUAAAGAGCAUCCUGAGUUUUGACAAUGGCAUUUCCAGUCCUGAUUUCCGCAGGAGAAAUUUGAAAGUAUAGGAUACAUUUGCAUAAUGCUGAGCUUGUCCUUUGUGAUGGUGCAUCUGUGGGAGUACUGAUCCACAAUAUGGCAUGUGGGUGGGAUCCUCUGCUUUUGUAACAUAGGCACACAGGGCCAUGACUUCUGCUUUGAAAAGCAAAUAAUUUUAUGGUUUGAUUUCAGUAAUGCUACCGCAGCCGACACAAGCCUUACCAUCUGUGUUUCAGGCAGUUUGCUUUCACAGGUCACGCAAUGUUUAAGGUGAAGAGGAUUUCCUGUGCCACAUGCCUGACAAAUCACUUUGCCCUUUUAAAUAAAGAAAGAAUACAUUUCAUACAGUAUUUGAAAACAGUGAACAACAAUCAUAGCAAGAGGACUUUAUCUUAGAAACUGCUGUGCUUAUUCAGCUCUGCAAUUAGAAGAGAGACGAAGUCUGUGCUGUGGGCUUCAGAUUUUUGUUAAGCUGUAUUGCCUCAUUGUCACACAUCUGCAUAUCUUUGUGCCAGUUUUAUUUUAUUCAAUCUACAGUACAAUUCACUCAAGAUCCAGUAUCAAUACCUGCAGGCCUUUAAAGUCAUUAGUGUCAGCUUGUUCAGUCACUGCACUCAUGCACAACAGAGGCAGCCAUAUUUGCAAGGAAAAAACAAAAACCUUGUUUUGUCGAUUAUGUGUUCCUGUGCUUGUCAGCCCUGCCUCAGGGGCUGCUUCACAGGGCUGCUAGGAACUUUUAUUCCACUUUAUUCUUAGCUUAAAGCCCUCCUUAUCUGGUCAGCCUGAUAAAGAUAUUUUGCUAGCCAAGAUACCCUUGCCCUGUUUAAUGAGGUGGAUCCCAUUUCUUUAAGGAAAUGUUGAUCCUCAAGCAAGGUCCUGUAAUCAUAGAAACUAAAACCCUUUUGUCAACAGCUCCACAACCAAUUGCUGAUGUGUAAUAUCAGUCCCCACUUCACAACCUAUUCCCUCAGCAGCACGACUGAGGAAGGUUCCCAUGGUCCACAUGCCCGCACAUGGGGAGUAUUUUGUAGGGCCAACUUUGUCCAGUUAAAGCUAUCAGUACUUUCAGAUCACUGACCAAGACCGCCCUGAUCCUUCCAGCUGACCUCUACUGAGCACUCACAAUCACAUGAGGUAAGCAGAGUAAUCAGAAUAUACUUAAUACACUUUAUUGAUAAGAUGAUCCCUACUAAAUACAGUUCCAUGCAUUCCUGUCAUUGGGGCUUCUACCUCAGGUGCUCUUCAGCGUGCUUUCCUGAGCUUAUGUGUUUUUGCCUUUAAUAAUUAUUCCUAUCCAAGCUUUUUUAACCCUACUAACUCUUAAUGCUGCUUUAAGGUAUUUCACGUUAGAUUCAAAAUAUUCAUAGAGUUGUCACCUGUUAAAGAAAUGCAUGCCAGGAGUUAAAUUACUGAGUUGUUAUAUUUAUUCUCAGUUACCUUAAAGCAGGUGUUGGUCUGGGGCUGCAGUUGUGGAUCUAUUGGUGACUCACACACAAUGCAGGUGGGCGUAUUCAUUGGCACGAGAUGUUUGCAUUCAAGACAUGGUGCCAUCUGAAAGAAAAAAUGUAUCACAUCUUAUUAAGGAGAUCAUUAAGGUUAUCAUGAGAUCCUUAAUGAUACUGUGACAGUUUGCCACGAUAUUGUCAUUAAUGUCACAAUAUUGUAUUUUCUAUAUCUUGCUCAUUAGAGUUUCUAUCAGCAGCAAAGUCAGUGGACUGACAGCAGAAAACAAAAGUUGACACUGAUCAAAGAGAAUGCUUUACUGAUACGUGUGCCAGAAAGGUGCUAAGUUACUUCACAGUCAAUUUAAAUGCUAUCAUAAUGUGUGUAGGCAGCUCAAGUCGUUGUAACUAUGAACUACAGAGGUGCUCAAUAUUUUCAGUCAUCUCUUGAAACUACAGCAUUGUCUCAGACAAGACAUCUUUCUGAGGAUACAGGAGGAAAAAAACAACACCAUUGACUCAUUAGAUAGGGUUAUUAUCUCCUGGGAAGAGCUUAUGGAAGACAGUUACAGACAUAACUGCAAAAACUUAGUGUUCUGACAUACACACCACUGUUCAAAUCUUCAGGCAUAUUAGAUGGAUCUUCUACAGCUGUGGCAUAGACACUAGUUACUAGCUAACUAACCUCACUAGUUAGCACUGAAAUAAGAUGCAUAUGCAGCUCCUGAAGAUGCAGUUGUUGUUGCAGGAUGAGGAGGAAUCUGAAUUUGGUGAUGUUUCCUGGCACAAGUGAAUAAAAUACAAUUUACUUUUAUAAAGUUGUCCUUAUUAAAAUAUGUGGCACCUGCAGCAAUCCAGUUAAUUUUGCCCUCCAUUGAAUAACUACUUUGGUAGUUAUUCCCUGCUGAAAUUUCCAAACAAAAUAAGAAAAAGAACUUCUCCAAUGAAAGAGUGACUAAACAAUGAACAUGUAAUUUGCUGAGGAAGUUCCUCCACAGAGGAUUCAUUGUGUUACGAUGUUUUGCUGACCUGUGCUCCUUCAGGGGAUGGGAAGCGGCGCACUGGCAUGGGUGGGAUAGGAGAGCCACAUUCCUGGCAGAAGUGAGCCGAGGGGUCAGACAGGCGAGGUGCAGAGCAGUAUGCACAUCUGAAAACAACAGCAAGCUGGCUGAUCUUGUUUUGGUGACGUACUGGUGCGUAACAGUGACAAAUCUGGAACCAUUUGUGUCUGGACUUAGGCCACUGAUUUGUAAAUUGUGGCUCCUAGUCUAUGGUGGCUCACCAGGCCGUUCCCCAGUGUCUUUUGCAGGAGGCUGAACAAUGAAGAGCUUUGCAAGGUGGAAGCUCUUUCAUGAUUUUUACUCACCAUAUAAGGUCUACUGAUACCUGAGCUGUGUCACCUACUGACAAAGAUGUCAAUGGAAGUCAUUCACCUGAGGAAAUCUCUCUCUCUCUGGAUCCUUGCCACCUGUGUGCUUGCUAGGCUCUUCCGGCUGGGCACUGCAGAACUGGCAAACUGAAAUAAAGGCCAUUCUGUGAUCCUAUGAUAAAGAUCGCAAAGACCACAAUCAUCUGCAAACAACGGCAUGGAGGCUAAAAGGUUCAAAUGAUCGCGUAACAAAAGGUUCUACGGAGGCAAAGCUGCAGUUCGUACCUGACUUUAUUUCUAGUCGAGUACUGGUGUCUAUCCGGUGCUUGGCCCGCCCUGGAAGAGGGCUCCGAAGGGGUAUGACCUGCGGCACCGACACAGAGCCCGCCGUCAUCCUUCUCAGCGGUGAUCUCUAAACCGGAACGACAACAGAAAAGCAGACGAUGAUUUUUCUUAACAACAGUGCGAUCUGAGCCUACGCGUCCCGCUGCUCGGCAACCGGCACCGCCGCGCGCAAGUGACGUCACCUCAACG